rnacentral:sRNA from 1 species
CUUGGUCAUUUAGAGGAAGUAAAAGUCGUAACAAGGUUUCCGUAGGUGAACCUGCGGAAGGAUCAUUACAGAAUAAACCUGGCUGGUUGUUGCUGGCUCUUCCGGGAGCAUGUGCACGCCGGUCACUUUUAUCUUACCACCUGUGAACACUUUGUAGAUCUGGAGGUAUCUUCACGGACUUUGUCUGUGGUUUUUGGAAGCUGUCGUGCCUCUGCGCCGACUCUUCCUGGCCUUCAGGUCUAUGUCUUUACAUCUACUCCAUAGCAUGUAAACGAACGAAUCAAUGGCAGCUUUAUGCAGCCUAUAAAACUUGUACAACUUUCAGCAACGGAUCUCUUGGCUCUCGCAUCGAUGAAGAACGCAGCGAAAUGCGAUAAGUAAUGUGAAUUGCAGAAUUCAGUGAAUCAUCGAAUCUUUGAACGCACCUUGCGCUCCUUGGUAUUCCGAGGAGCAUGCCUGUUUGAGUGUCAUUAAAUUCUCAACCAUCCUGUCUUUUUUUGAAGGCGGUGAUGCGUUGGAUGUGGGGACUUGCCUUGCGCUUAUUUCAUAAGACAUUGGCUUCCCUUAAAUGCAUUAGCUAGAGCGCUUCUGUUGACUAGCUGCUAGUGUGAUAAUUAUCUACACUGUGGCCAACGAAGAAAACUCUGCUUCUAAUCGUCUGCUUGCAGACAAAUUCUGAUAUCUUGACCUCAAAUCAGGUAGGACUACCCGCUGAACUUAAGCAUAUCAAUAAGCGGAGGAAAAGAAACUAACAAGGAUUCCCCUAGUAACUGCGAGUGAAGCGGGAAAAGCUCAAAUUUAAAAUCUGGCAGUCUUUGAUUGUCCGAGUUGUAAACUAGAGAAGUGUUAUCCGCGCUGGACCGUGUAAAAGUCUCCUGGAAUGGAGCAUCAUAGAGGGUGAGAAUCCCGUCUUUGACAUGGACUACCAGUGCUUUGUGAUGCGCUCUCAAAGAGUCGAGUUGUUUGGGAAU